UAAUGUUAGCCAGACUUCUCAAUGUGCUCCUCCGUUCACCAUCGCAUCCAAGGAAAAGACGUUGGUGCAACUAAUUGAAUGAAGAGUGCCACAGAACGGUUACAGCACAUAUUGUGAAAAGGUUGCAUCCCUUUUCAGAUGUGGAAUCACCAACAUUUAGGGACAUGAUGAAAACCAUCAACCCAAGUACACACCACCUACCAUGGACCACUUGUCAAAUAAGUGAAUCAUCUUGGUAUAAGGUGGAGAAGAGCUGCUCUGCGCUUUAAACAGAAGAUGGAUGAUGUGUCUGGGAGCAGAUCCAGAGGAAGACUGUGGAGAUGAUGGGGUCACCAUGCAGUCUGAGGAAAGGCCUGAGAAUGAGGGAGUGGAGGAUGAGGA